GUAGUCCGGCAACCCUGCAAGCCGCCAUUUGUAGUCUUACUCAGCCUUGUUUAGGUGGAUUUAACAUAGGCAAACGACUUUGAGGACUGAUUUCUCCCAUUAAUUUUGCUACCAGGAGCAAAAUUAUUGUGGCACGUUGUACGUCAGAAUAUUGCUAACAUUUCAAGUGCCAAAUUUUUAAGAAUUCGCUACAACUAGUACUUGAAAUCGUCGUUACAGUGAAGGGCUAUCAACAUUUGAAACAAUAACAAACAGUCAACGUCUUUGGGCGAUGUGGCUUGGAAUCCAGUGUAGUUCGAUCCUGAUGUUGGCAGAGAGAGUGUCCGCAACAAUGUUACGGAUGUGGAUAAUGUAAUCGUUGGAUGGUUGGAAACCGUUUACGGCUUCAAUUGCUCUGCGUGAGUCAGAAAAAAUUUGAACGAGCGUUGGAGAGCCGACACAGGCGCAUUCGAUGGCUUUAGUUAUUGUUACUAGUUCUGCCGUGUAGCGUCCGUAAGUUUCCAUCCCUUUGAAAUUUGUAGUUUUGGGCAAUAGAUGGCGCAUGCUGCGGUGUUGUCACUCGGGUUGAAAGAGCCAUCAGAAAAAACGGUAAUUGUGUCAUUUUCGUCUGCGCCGCCAUUGUUUGUAUAGGUAUACAUCAGUCUGAAUAGGAUUCUCUCACGUGUUUGGUUUGCUGUUGAGAUGGUUUUGCUGAGCAGGAAGAAAAAAGGAGACUGAAAAAGGCGAACGCCAUAUGCUGAUAGUUGUGAUUUGCUGACCAGAAUGUUCGGGAUACUACGAGGUUUCCAGAAGGUAAGACUACUUGGUAAGCUAACCAGUCACAUCUGCAAAGGAUGGGACAUAUGCCUGUGUCAAGCCAAAGGUGAGCCCGAAGAGUAGAGCAGGGAGCUUGUAAAAUUGAACGAAGAAUGGUAUUCUGGAUGGUGUCAAGUUUGUUCAUCAACGUUGACCUUAAUUGGAGGAUAACAGGAUAUGAGUAGUCAAUGAUGCUUCUCACUAAGGCCAGGAAAAGAUUAUGCUUCUGUGCUAUUUUACCAGUUAGUUCGAGUAAGUGGGAUCUCCAAGGCUGUUAACUGUAGGGGGAGAUUGUAAAGGACUUCGACAAGGAAAUGGUGAAUCUCCACAGCUUGCACCAUCUGAUAAACCGUGUCAGGGACCUCUAGAGAGCCAGUCGUGCUUUUCUUCUGUGGCGAUGAGUGAAUGAGGCAGAUAUGUUAUCUGCGUACAUUCGUAGGGAAACCCCUAGAGAAUUUUGAAUUUUGGGAGUUCUUUGCUAAUGGAAAAUCCCGUGUCCUCACAGUGAAGAGAAGCGGGCUGAUUACAGCGCCCUGUGGAACCCCAACUGAUGUAAUUUUUGUUUUGGAAAAGGUGCUACCCAGAUAACACACACCUGAGCCAAAGACGUCCCAUAGAUGUCAUGUUGGUACGAUUGCGACGUCCCAUGGACUCCCCGUUAUUUAACGUUCUUGUGUUCGGGACUGGUUUUGGAUGUGGCAAUGUCCGCCUUGCCAGCACCCUAUUCUUGUUCCUAGUACAGCCCAUGGGACGACUCUUGGACGGGGGAUGUACGAACUUUACACCAAUUUUUAAAUCAUGGUAUGCAUAUGGGAUAUGUAUAAUAUAAAUGAUUUUUCUUUCAGUAAUGUGACUAUAUAUUUUUGGCUUAUUUUUUUAUCUUUAGUAAGACAGUAAUAACUAUAACAAAAGGAUAUUUGUAAACAAAUCAAUUUUGUAUAUUGUAACAGUAUGUUGUAUUGACGGUUCA